rnacentral:rRNA from 1 species
GACAGAGGAUGCAAGCGUUAUCCGGAAUGAUUGGGCGUAAAGCGUCUGUAGGUGGCUUUUUAAGUCCGCCGUCAAAUCCCAGGGCUCAACCCUGGACAGGCGGUGGAAACUACCAAGCUGGAGUACGGUAGGGGCAGAGGGAAUUUCCGGUGGAGCGGUGAAAUGCGUAGAGAUCGGAAGAACACCAGUGGCGAAGGCGGCUUUCUGGACGAUAACUGACGCUGAGACGCGAAA